UGUCCUACGGGAGGCAGCAGUGAGGAAUAUUGGUCAAUGGGCGGUAGCCUGAACCAGCCAAGUAGCGUGAAGGAUGAAGGCUCUAUGGAUUGUAAACUUCUUUUAUAAAGGAAUAAAGUGAGGCACGUGUGCCUUUUUGAAUGUACUUUAUGAAUAAGGAUCGGCUAACUCCGUGCCAGCAGCCGCGGUAAUACGGAGGAUGCGAGCGUUAUCCGGAUUUAUUGGGUUUAAAGGGUGCGUAGGCGGGAUUUUAAGUCAGCG
rnacentral:rRNA from 1 species